rnacentral:rRNA from 1 species
AUUGAACGCUGGCGGCAUGCUUUACACAUGCAAGUCGAACGGUAACAGGCCGCAAGGUGCUGACGAGUGGCGAACGGGUGAGUAAUGCAUCGGAACGUGCCCAGUCGUGGGGGAUAACGCAGCGAAAGCUGCGCUAAUACCGCAUACGAUCUAUGGAUGAAAGCGGGGGACCGUAAGGCCUCGCGCGAUUGGAGCGGCCGAUGUCAGAUUAGGUGGUUGGUGGGGUAAAGGCUCACCAAGCCAACGAUCUGUAGCUGGUCUGAGAGGACGACCAGACACACUGGGACUGAGGCACGGCCCAGACUCCUACGGGAGGCAGCAGUGGGGAAUUUUGGACAAUGGGCGCAAGCCUGAUCCAGCAAUGCCGCGUGCAGGAAGAGGGCCUUCGGGUUGUAAACUGCUUUUGUCAGGGAAGAAAUCCUCUGGGCUAAUACCUCGGGGGGAUGACGGUACCUGAAGAAUAAGCACCGGCUAACUACGUGCCAGCCGCCGCUGUAACAC